GAUGAACGCUGGCGGCGUGCCUAAUACAUGCAAGUCGAGCGAACAGACGAGGAGCUUGCUCCUCUGACGUUAGCGGCGGACGGGUGAGUAACACGUGGAUAACCUACCUAUUAGACUGGGAUAACUUCGGGAAACCGGAGCUAAUACCGGAUAAUAUAUUGAACCGCAUGGUUCAAUAGUGAAAGACGGUUUUGCUGUCACUUAUAGAUGGAUCCGCGCCGCAUUAGCUAGUUGGUAAGGUAACGGCUUACCAAGGCAACGAUGCGUAGCCGACCUGAGAGGGUGAUCGGCCACACUGGAACUGAGACACGGUCCAGACGACUACGGGAGGGAGCAGUAGGGAAUCUUCCGCAAUGGGCGAAAGCCUGACGGAGCAACGCCGCGUGAGUGAUGAAGGUCUUCGGAUCGUAAAACUCUGUUAUUAGGGAAGAACAAAUGUGUAAGUAACUAUGCACGUCUUGACGGUACCUAAUCAGAAAGCCACGGCUAACUACGUG
rnacentral:rRNA from 1 species